rnacentral:rRNA from 1 species
AGAGUGAACGCUGGCGGCAGGCCUAACACAUGCAAGUCGAACGGCAGCACAGGGGAGCUUGCUCCCCGGGUGGCGAGUGGCGGACGGGUGAGGAAUACAUGGGAAUCUGCCCAAUCGUGGGGGAUAACGUAGGGAAACUUACGCUAAUACCGCAUACGACCUUAGGGUGAAAGCGGCGGACCGCAAGGCGUCGCGCGAUUGGAUGAGCCCAUGUCGGAUUAGCUUGUUGGCGGGUAAAGGCCCACAAGGCGACGAUCCGUAGCUGGUCUGAGAGGAUGAUCAGCCACACUGGAACUGAGACACGGUCCAGACCUCCGUACGGGAGCAG